AUGUUUGAUUGUGGAAGCAUACAACCUCCAUUUAAAAAAAUAUUAAAGUUUUCCUUUAUUAAUCUCAAAAUAUUUUUCUUUACUAUCUUCUUAUUUCGUUUUGCAAAAAACAUGGGCAUGCUUGGAAAUAUCUUAAAGAGGAAGAAGGCCCACUCAAUUGAGAAAGUUGCUUUAUCUCCAUCUCCGACUCUUACUACGUCCCCAAAUGAAAUGGAGGUGACCCCAAAAGAGACCAAGACUUUGUUUAUAGGUCAGUUGCAAACAUCUUAG